AUUGAACGCUGGCGGCAUGCUUUACACAUGCAAGUCGAACGGCAGCGCGGGCUUUGGCCUUGCGGCGAGUGGCGAACGGGUGAGUAAUACAUCGGAACGUGCCCAGUAGUGGGGGAUAGCUCGGCGAAAGCCGGAUUAAUACCGCAUACGACCUGAGGGUGAAAGCGGGGGAUCUUCGGACCUCGCGCUAUUGGAGCGGCCGAUGGCAGAUUAGCUAGUUGGUGGGGUAAAGGCCUACCAAGGCGACGAUCUGUAGCUGGUCUGAGAGGACGACCAGCCACACUGGGACUGAGACACGGCCCAGACUCCUACGGGAGGCAGCAGUGGGGAAUUUUGGACAAUGGGCGAAAGCCUGAUCCAGCAAUGCCGCGUGUGUGAUGAAGGCCUUCGGGUUGUAAAGCACUUUUGGCGGGAACGAAAAGGACUGUGCCAAUACCACGGUUCGAUGACGGUACCCGCAGAAUAAGCACCGGCUAACUACGUG
rnacentral:rRNA from 1 species